UACGAAGGGGGCUAGCGUUGCUCGGAAUUACUGGGCGUAAAGCGCACGUAGGCGGCUUUCUAAGUCGGGGGUGAAAUCCUGGAGCUCAACUCCAGAACUGCCUUCGAUACUGGAGAGCUUGAGUCCGGGAGAGGUGAGUGGAACUGCGAGUGUGGAGGUGAAAUUCGUAGAUAUUCGCAAGAACACCAGUGGCGAAGGCGGCUCACUGGCCCGGUACUGACGCUGAGGUGCGAAAGCGUGGGGAGCAAACAGG
rnacentral:rRNA from 1 species